rnacentral:rRNA from 1 species
AUUGAACGCUGGCGGCAUGCCUUACACAUGCAAGUCGAACGGCAGCGCGGACUUCGGUCUGGCGGCGAGUGGCGAACGGGUGAGUAAUGCAUCGGAACGUACCAUUCAGUGGGGGAUAACGCAGCGAAAGUUGCGCUAAUACCGCAUAUUCUGUGCGCAGGAAAGCAGGGGAUCGCAAGACCUUGCGCUGAUUGAGCGGCCGAUAUCAGAUUAGCUAGUUGGUGAGGUAAAGGCGCACCAAGGCGACGAUCUGUAGCGGGUCUGAGAGGAUGAUCCGCCACACUGGAACUGAGACACGGUCCAGACUCCUACGGGAGGCAGCAGUGGGGAAUUUUGGACAAUGGGCGCAAGCCUGAUCCAGCCAUGCCGCGUGAGUGAAGAAGGCCUUCGGGUUGUAAAGCUCUUUCGGCCGGGAAGAAAUCGUAUGGGUUAAUACCCUGUGCGGAUGACGGUACCGGCAUAAGAAGCACCGGCUAACUACGUGCCAGCAGCCGCAGUAAGAC